GCGCCAGUGGUUUAGCGGUAAAAUCCAUCGUUGCCAAGUCAUGUGAUCAAACACGUUACUAGCAGUUUCGAUGGGCCCCCGGUUCGACUCCGGGCUGGCGCA